rnacentral:rRNA from 1 species
AUGAUUGUCCACAUCUUACAAUUGCUUUGCAGGAUAACAUUCACCCCAACUGUGUACCACUGCAGUAUGGCUACGGUGACUGGCCUGUGCCUCAGGCUUAAGUUGAUGCAAAACCUACGUGAUUUGGUGAGGCUGAGGCCAUCACUGAGGCUGGAUACAUGCAUGUGGACACAGCCACGGCCACAGCUCUCCGGAAACCAAGACGGCGACAGCGUCGACGGGAUCCUCGGACGACCUGCGUCUUUCUGCCUACGUCCUUCCCCUAACACGCCCGCGACCUGCAUCCAGCUGCUCCUGCCCCAGCCCUCCUCAACUUGGCUCCUGGUGAGCUGCUGUAGGUGA